AGAGAAGAGAGAAUCGGUUCCUCUCUUUCUGCCGGUCACGCCGCCGGCCUUCCGUCUCCUUCCUUUCCCUCCGAAGCCUUCUCGUGACCCGACGACGUCCCCACGCCGUGGUCCCAGGGUGGAGACACCCUCCCUCCCCUCCUCCGUCUCCCCUCCUCCUCCUCCUCCUCCUCUCUGUCCAGAAGAGGAGAGGAGAGGAGAGUGCCGUGAGAGAUCCGUGGCCUCGGCCGGCCUCUCUCUCUAUCCUCUCUCAUUAAUAUCCAGGAGACACCGCGGGCCGGACCCCGACGGAGGAGGAGGGUUAACUCUGAUUGGCUCCGAGGCGACAUCUCGACGGCUACGCGGAACAGACCGGCGUACACUUUCGAAGAAUCGGGCGGCGGAAUUGGACGGACGUUUUCCAAAGGGGAGAGAGAGAGAGAGAGACUCUUCUCGUCCUCCUCCUCCUCCAGGAGGAGAGAGGAGAGACAGGAGAGAUCGCGAGGAGGUGGACGACGCGGUGGCCGGGGGCGGGAUUAUUGAUUUUUUGGGUGGACAGGUGGAAUGGCUCGGUUUUUCGGAAUAUCGGGUGGGGGUUGGACAAAGGAUGUUUAAAAAUGAAUUUCGAAGCUCAAUAAGAAGAUCGUAUAACACUGAGCAAAAGGAGAGAAAGAGAAUCUGGGAAGCAACGUUCGAUGAAAUUUGGUGGAUGGAUGGCGCGUUCUCCAAGCUUCCGGAUCCACGGCGAAAAGGAGAAACGAAGCAAAGACUGGUUGGACUUAGCUUCGAGCUAAAUGGCAUAUGGCAGGGAUAAGGAGAAGGCCGUCUGCCUUCGGAUUACGGCAAUUAUCGAAUCACGAUCCGACUGAGAAAAAAAUUCAGUUCCCAACCUGUCUCAAGAAUAAUUUGAAAAAGACGCGUAGAAGAUGUUUGCGGUUUCUUCGAAGUCGAUAUCGAAGAGAAUAUUCGAAUAUUCGUUUUGAAAUAUUGUGGGAAAGUAAAUGGAGAAUUUUACGCGAAUCGGAUAUAUAUUUAUUCUAUACGAAAAAAUUAUUCGUAGUAUUAAUUGUAAUUUUUACAAUUUUUAAUUUCAGUAAGAUCGAAACGAACAUCGUUUUCCAAUUUCAUCGUCGUUUCACGGAGGUAUAACAAUUUCACGAAAAAUUGUUACGAUUUUUUUUAAGGCCACGUACGAUCAAAACUAAUAUCGAGUUUCUAAAAAAAAAAGUACGAAUAAAAAAAAAUUCUUUUUUCCGGGUAUCUAUGUUUUUUUCAAAAUUUAAACGCAACAGGAACGAAUUGUCACGAAUUAGUAUUAUAUUCAAUUUCGAACGUCGAGUUUUUUUUUUAUUAUUUAUUAUUUCAUCGAUUGAAACGUAAAUUUAAUCGUUUCCACGAGAUUUUUAUUCUUUUAAAUAUAACGGAUAAAUAUUUUUGACGAUCCAUCUUUUUUAUUAUAAAAAUUUUUAAUUCGUCUUGGAAUCGAAGGGAAACGAUUUCAUCAUCGUUCGUCGAUAACCACGGCUCGUUUCGUUUCCGUUCCAAUAAGACACGUGCUUCCGGUCGACCGCCAAUAAUAGGAUGCUGUGCACAAACUUUUCACUACGGCUAUUUUAUUUAAACUCCGGUGCACGCUUCGACGGAAUGCAAUUCCACGUUCCGCAAACCCGGCUCUCGAUGCAUUAACCCGAGUAAUUCAAACGUUACUGCUCGCUACGAAAGUUUUUAGCGGUGGAAUCCUCUGGAUAAUUCACAUUACUGGAACGGAUUAUUCCCAUCUACCCUUUUCGCUAUGAGAACGUAACCUGUGAGAAUGAUAGUGGUUUUGGGGGGGAAAAAAAAAAAGAAAAAGAAAAAAACGAAGGAAUCUUGCGAAUAAAAUCGAUUUUCCCGUCGUUUCGCGAAUAAAGGAAUCGAAAUGGAAAUUGGUUGUUUUGAGGUUAAGUAAUUGCACAGGAAAGGUAAAUACGUAUCGAUAAAGGAAUAUUUAACCAAGAGAUUCAUCUCUCGUUUGAUUUGCGUAUUAUCUGUUAUUAUAAAAAUAUAUAUAAUUAUAAUAAAUUUGCUUGUUUUUUUCUCCUUUCAUUCUUUUUUUCCUUUUUUUUUUUUUAUAAAAUAUAAAUGCUGCAUACAAAUCUUGGUUUGGAUCAUGCGAAAAGAAACAUAUAUCGUACAUAAAAUUUAUAUUGCAAUUUCGAUGAUGUUUUUGAUAUUGGUCGAAUGUUGUUAGUAUCGUAAAGCUUUAUCUAAAAAUAAUAUCUUUAAAAAAUAUAUCGAUCAUGCAAGUAUAUAUAUAUAUCUUUUUCUUUUUCUCGUAUUGGAACUAAUAUCGAUCUAUACUUAAAAACGAAUGGCAAAAAAAUUAAUUUAUUUCUAAAUACAGAUUAAACUCUUAUUCAAUAUCAUAUUUCGCGAUAUAAAAGUGUCGAUUUAUUUGUAUAAAUUAUCAGUAAAAAUUAUCGAUAUUAAAAAAUAUAUUCCAUUGUCGUUGCAACAUUUUUGAGCAAUGUAAAAAUUGGAAAUGUGGCACAAUAGUCAGUAACAUGAAUUACAUACGUUUCUUAAGUUUAAUCUAUCUCUAUAGAAGAUAUUAUAGAAAAUAUAGAUUUCAAAAAAGCAAUUUAUCUACCCGCAAUCUGAAUUGUAAGGAUUCUAUUUAAUUUGCAAUAUAUAUAUAUAUAAUAUCAAAAGCGUUCAUGAUAAUUAUAUCUAUAGCCAUUAAUAAAAUAUAAUAGUAUAUUGCGUAAAUAAAAAUUAUCCUGUUUCAUAUAACACGAUAUAAAAUUGUUCUUAAACAAUAACAAUUAAUAACUUGAAAACUUGUUCUUCCCUUCUAACAAUAUUCAACGUUAGAUUAGAGAUUAAACAUUGUUUCUUAACAGCUAGAAUAUUUAUAAUACUCUUAAUAAUAACGAUGUAACAAUUGUAUCGUGUAUAUGUAA